rnacentral:rRNA from 1 species
AUGGGCCUCGAUGUCGCGGAAAUCUCUGAAUUGGCGGCGCUCCGGCCGAUCCAGACGGCCGUGAGCGGCGCCCGAGCCACGGCAGUACCGGGGGAGGACGACGGCAGUGCCGACACCGGCUGCGUCACACCAACGGCGAGCGGCGCGCAAUCGGCCAUGGCAGGGGGAGCAGACGAUGGGGACGCAGCCGCCGACACAGGCAGCGUCACGCCGAGGGCGAGCGGCUGCAUGGCCAUGCUGGCAAUUGCGCUGCAGCAAGACGACGGCUUCGCCACGCCGCUGGCAACGGGUGGACAAAUUGGGCCGCGAGACGGCUGCGGAGCGGGGGCCACUGCCGGCGACGAGGGCAGCUUCACCACGCCUACGACGGCCGACAGCGCGCUGGUGCCGGCGACGGUGUGCCCACCGGCGCCUCGGAAGUCAGCACCGGUGCCGACGAGGAAGCGUGCGCCGCUGCAGCAGCGGCUCUUCUACCCGGUGCCGCGCGACUUGACCACCGUGUUCGUGGCCGUGCCACAGCACCCGCCGCCGGCCAAGAAGAUGCGGGCGCACGUGGUGGAAUCAUCUGUGCCUCUAGGCACGUGA